rnacentral:miRNA from 1 species
UGGCCCCUCUGCCCCUUCCAG